rnacentral:lncRNA from 1 species
UGAGUAUUUAUAUUACAGCAGAGCUCAGAGGCUUCUUGCUGAGAUUCAGGCAUUGCCGUGCAAGCCGAGAGUAAAAGACUCUUCCUGCCCCAAACAGUUUAUAGUCUAAACAGAAAUGACUGGUGAUAAAUAGCAGACAAAAAGGCAGCACUAUUGCAACACAGCUAAUGCUAAAGAAAGACUGCAAAACCCAUGAGAUUACUCUAAAAAUAAAUGUUGAGGUUUUUAUUUGUUUUAUAGACAACUAAAAUUCUUAUGUUCUUAAAGCUAGAAAGUUUCUGGUUGCUGUAACAGCUGCAACACUUGUUUACUCGUGACUCCAGAAGGUAAAAUGAACACAGCACUCCAGUCCUCCUCCUCUCAAACCCAUCUCAAAUUUUUUUUCUGUUGAAGGGGAAGUGAGCAGGGGGUUGGUGGUGCUUAGUUGCCAGCUGGGUUAAACCACAACACCUGUCCACAGAAAACACUGACUAAAGCUACACACCAGUUUCUUGUGCCUUUCCACUCGUGGGGCAGAAAUUCCCUUAAGAUUGCACAAACACAACUGUUUUCCCCACCCAUGAAAAUUAUUUUUAAGAAAAGUAGUGUUUAAUUUUCACAUACUUGAUCUUUCUCCAUUAUUGUCAGCACACAGUUCAGUUUCCUGUAUCUAUUCCUGAAUCACUGGGAUCCACCACUUCCAAACCUGUGGAUUUGCUGAUCCGUCCCUUGCAUUUGACUGUGGCAUUUGACACAGACAGCUGAGCAGGAAAAAAUCCAUGGAAGAAGUGGACCUACACUAAAAUUCUUCCUUAAAGGUGCAGCACAGGAGGCUGAACUCUGAGGUCUUGGGGCUGGAGGCAGAUGGAAGAUCCAAAUCUCAUUGGACUUAUACACCUGAGCUCAAGACUGUUCAAAAUCUGUCUUUAAAGGUAAAAUACAUUUGUCAUUUCUGUAUGUAUUCUAAAGUGAGCAGAGACCAGGUCUCUCAUUCCUUUUAUGCCUAGUGAGAACAUCCAGUUGGUUCUGUGUGCAUCUUGGGGAAGCUAGGAAGGAUUACAGGACACUUAAGCAGCAGAGUAAGGAAUCAGGUUUUGGUUGGAGUUAUGCAGUGCCCCUGAUAGGAUGAUUAGUAGUUACCCCACAUGGAAGAGCUCUAAUAGCAGAGGCUCUGAGCUC